CGAAAAUGAAAGCAUCUCCUCCCAAGUGCACCUUUGCCCGAGAGGAGAGGGAAGCCCUCCCAAAAUAACCAAAUAAACAAAUAAACAAGCAAACAAAUGCAUAACCAUAAAAAUAGCAGCAGUGAGGCAAGGGAUAAGGGAGACGCUCCCCAACCAAACCCAACCCAAUCCAACCCUACCCAACCCAAGCCCAGCCAACUCAAACCAACUCAACUCAAUUCAACCAAUCCAAUCCAAACACGACCCAACCAAACUCAUCCAAAGCAAAGUCAGUCAAAACAAGCCCAAGCAAAGCCAAAGCGAACCAGCCAACCUUCACCUGGAGACCCUUCCCGAAGCCCUGUGGAAGGGAGUUGGCCGCAGGAGAACAACAUCAAUAAUAAAACCCUCCCAGAAGUGCCCGGCUGAAGGUGCGGGGGGUGGUGAAGGGCUACCGCCACUGACUGAAGCAGGAGACAUCGACAGGGAGGUGACAGCCGCUGGAAGCGCACAGCUCCUCUGUGCGCAUAGCCGGCUGCGCUGUGACGGGGCAUUUUUAAAGCUCCCGACAGUGAAAAUGCCCCCCGCAUGAGUAGAUGAGCGAUUAUUAGCCUCCAGCCCUUGCCUCCAGCCUUUGAUGCGUGGUUCUGGCCCGCGGUUACCCACGCGGGUUGGGAGCAAGCAGGCAGGAGAGAUGCGCACAGCAUGCGCGGAUUGCACGGUGCCCCGAGGAGCUCGGACGGCUCCAGGGGGACGGAGUUAGCUGUCGCGGCGUAACGGGGGUGGUGUCCGUCGGUCCCAUGCCCUGUGGGUCCUGCUCCAAGCAGCAUCACCCUAACAGAGCCAAGUAGAGACCCGAGUGUACGCCCCAGGACAAGAAAAAGCUCAGCACCAUCUUGUUGGGUCUGUGAACAUCCCCGCCGGCAUGGCUCUAAGGAGAAACCGAGCAGUCCCCAAAAAACGGCGAGCACGAAACGAGCCCCGACACGGACAGCUCUGCGGCCACCCCGUCCGAACCGGGUCCCCCUCCAGUGCCCAGGAGCGGGCAGAGGGAAGCGGAGAGGGGAAAGAAACCCAGCCGAGAAAGCAUGCUAAAUCGCUCAGGGGAGGGGGAAACGAAAUGUUUUGGUGGCAUUCGGCCCGUGACAGCCGGCGCAUCCCGGUGCCUCCCGGAGCCCCUCUGCACUUGGACCCCCACCGGCCCGGAGCUGCCCAAGGCGCAGGCGGCCAACGGCAGCGCUUCCAAAAAGUCGGGAUGAAAAAGUUGAAGGCUUAAUGUUUUCUGACAGAUACAAAUGAUACCCCAAGGCUUUCUUAAAACGCGGCGAAUGACGGGAGGAGAAAGGGUUUUCCUAUUCGGGUUUCUGCAGCUGGAAGCAAACGGGGUGGGGGGUUCUCCUCGGCCCUCCUGUCCCGAAAAUUAAACCAUCUCCUGGAAUAACUCCGUUUUUCCCAAGUGCCAUUCGGCACAGCCCCACUCUGGCUCUGCUCCGUGGCCUUCUCCGCAUCCCUCAGACCACGAGCACCGAGCCAUGCUCCGAGCAAAUCCGAAACCGCUGUCAGCAGCCGCUCGGGUUUAGUCCUGGUUGUCCGCAGCCUGAACCGAGUGGGAUCAGCAAUGCCACCGCCAGAGGAUGGACAGCUCGGGGUGCGCGGGCUGCUUCUCUCGGUGGGGAGGGGGAAGGAAGGGGGAAAGUGCCACAUAGUCCCACAAUUCCCUCUCCGAGCAGUGGGAACAUGCUUUUCUUAUUAAUUGAUGGAGGAAGGGGCACCGGCGCUUGCAAGGCAGCCUGCUCAUGUUACUCUGUGCAUCUCCAGGUCCGAAAUGUGUUUGGUUUGUGGACUAAAAAAGAUGCCUCUCGUGCAGGGCAGUCCAAGGCCCGCGCGAUCCGUUGGCAUUUUAUUGUGAUCGUUCUUCUGCAGAAAAAGGGGCUGCGUUUGGUACCACCGAUGCUGCGUUUCCUUGUGGGUUUCCCUCACCUUGUUUCGGGCGAGCAACCUCUUAAUUGCUGCAGCGUUUGGAUGGGGGAAACGCAUUUCCCCUAAACAGAACAUUUCCUGAAGGGCUGAAAUAUUCUAAUAACGCGCUUUAAUGUCCUCAGAACAGCCGUGAAUCUCUGCAGGGCCACGCGUUUCCUGCCUUAAAAAGCAAAAUCGGCGAAACAAUUCACCUUUGUGUGCACUCAGCACCCUCUCUUCUAUUUUCUUUUCUUUCCCUCCCUUCUUCCCCUCCUCCCCCCUUUUUCUUAUUUUUCCUCCCAUAGAUGCUCUGCGCUGCCCCGCGAUGAGGAGCGGGGACGACUUUCUUUCCAGUUUCAUUGUGGGAACGGCCGUAUCUUAACGGGCACAUCUCAGCGAGAGAUAGGAGAACACCACCGCCUUCCAGAGGGCUGCGCUAAUCAGCGCACGGGGCAAGAUAUAAAAGUUCAGGGCAAAUAAAACGAAUUAGUUUUAUUAGCACGUUUAGGAGGCGGUCUAACGAAGGAAUUCGGCUUUACUAGAGAAUGUUUUCUCCACCCCUUCUGUUAUUUAAAAGCAGCAUCUAUGCGGGCUGAUCGGGACGGGGGGGUGGGGGAGAAAUAACGCACCGCUCAACCCGCAGUGAUUUUCUCCGAGGAACGCGCCAUUCUCUCCACCCGGUAAGGAGCACAGAGCCCGGGAAAUACACGAUUUCACAAUGCAAUCUGCUCGAACAAUAAAACCAGUAGUAAAGGAGAGGCUCGGGGCCGAUCAGCGGCGGCUGUCGGGGGGAAAUCUCUGCCCCGCUCAGGGAUUCGUUCGGCUGAACCGCGUCCGGGGAACGGUGCCACCGCUCCGGCUCGGGAUGUCCAGGACUCGGCCCGUAUUUCAGGCACCAGAAGGAUUUUGGGGACGUUCUCCAAGCGAAGCAGCUCUCAGCAAUUAUUUGGACGUCGGGUUUUAGCUCAGAGGCGCAGGGAACGCAUCCCUGGGUCUGGGAGGCAGAAAUUACGUAUUUUAAGACUGUUAGGAAAUAAUCAAACGGCGUCUCGGUCCUCGCUAUCCGCACUGGGGUACCUCGCUAGGCACAUUUUUUUUUUUUUUGUUCAAUUCGUGUCUCGGCGUUUGUGUUCGCCUACAGCGAGGUCGGCAAAACUUAAGGAAUAAGGACGAAAUGACAGAAAACGCUCCUAGGGACGAUUUUUUACGCGACACCUGAAAAUUCUCCUAAGGGUACCGUCGGGGAGGAACUCCGCGCGUCCAUUCAACGGAGUUAACACGAGGGAAUAGAAGCCUUUUUCCACCGCUCCGAGAAUUUCGCCUCCGUUGGACAGAGCGGAGUUGCGGGACAUCGCUGGAGCGUGGGGCUUCCUAAAGAUAUUCCUGGCAGCGGGACGUGGAGCUGUUUGCACUACUGAUGCUGUGCUCUUGUACUCUUACUAAAUGGAGCAGAGCAAUUCCCAUUGCUCUCAACCUGGAUUCCGUUGCCAGCGCGCAGUUCACUUGGAAAGCUCUGGUCUGAUCACACACAUUCAGCACAUGCUUUUAUAAGUGGUUUCCAGCACUCUCCAUAGAAAGAAGGGAAAGGGAUUAUGAUCCUGUGGAGACUUUGGAAAGAACUGAGCAUAACCUUGGUGUCCAGGCUGACAUUCAAGAUCUUCAAGGCUAUGAGCUCUGCUGCUCUUUUGCACUGCUCCAAGGCAGUGGACCAAACAAAGACAAUCAGAGGUGGCUGAACUUCUCGUUUCCAAAGGCAUCUCCCCACACAGGUCCAUCUUGUCAUCGGUACUUUGCUGAUUGCUCCCAGUGUGUGGAGAGCUCAUGCAUAAAAGCAACAUCUGUUUUUUUCUCCUUUUCUACCAUUUCAUUCCAUUCAAUGCAUUUUUUUUUUCUUCCUGAAAUGCUCCAAGACAGGAUUCCAAGCCUGACACGCUUGGAUUUUACUGGGUUCUUUGCACACGUCUCUGGCAACGGUCUGUAACCCUAAUUAUGAUGGUUAGCAGAAGUUCAGUACAACUGAACUCAGAGCUAAAGCCUCAGAGCUGCCUUUCCUACCUGAAACCAGGAUGUCAGGACUGCUCAAAUUGGGCAUGGCUGCUGAGGAACCCUGUUGGUGCUUCUCCAACGUCAGCCUGCUUCUCCAUGACCACCCCUUGGAAACCUGUUGAGCCACCAGGUCCACCAGACCCAGGCUGGGUUAAGUCAAAUGAAGCAUGAGACAAAACAGGGAGUUCCCUAUCAUUUUUCCCCAGGAGCCUUGGACACGUCCUGGGAGAAAGGUGAGAGCUUCCCUCUUGCAGAGUCAUGACAACAUGGUUCCUACCCCGUAGCAUUGGGUUCCAGAGCUGGAUUACUCAAACCUUCCCUUUUUUCAUAAUUUUCCAGUACACACUGCUGUCCUUGCAGGAAACAGGGCGGCAGUAGCUAUUGUAUCAGAGCUCACUAAAUCUUUCAGGAGUUCUGGGUGUUUGGGCUCAUGCCCCGAGGCGCAUUUCCAUCCCUGUUUCUGUUGCUGCUCUUUGGUUCUGCAGUAGCUCUGCCGAAUCCUUUUUCCAAUUUAGACUCCCGUUCCCAGGGGAAUUGCAUUGCGAUCCCCCCUUGCUUCCUUCUGGGAGUCUCUCUGUUUGAGCUUAGAACUUUGAAGGAAACAUGAGCAACAGCCAUAAAAUCUCCAUCUCCAUUGUCUCUGGAACGGCAGCGUGCAUGCAGCUGAUUGUGUAUCCAGGGCUCUGCGUCUCUGAAGCCUUGUUGCAAUGUGAUCUCUGUGCUGUCCCUUCCCGGAUGCUACGAUCAGCUCUGCCUUCCUUUGCAGGUUCAGCAGCUGAGGCUCUCGUGCCAGAGGACAGUCCAGGUUUUGAAGGUGUGGUUCUCAAGUUCACCAGAGCCUCAGGCCAGGCUGUGCUCAGAGCCUUGUUCCCUUUCCCACUGGACCAUCUGAUUACAAAUAACCGUGACUGGAUGUUGGAUGUCGAAAUCCAUAAUCCCCUGCAAAUUGUUUAAAGUCUUGUACAUUGAAAUGCAGACCAUUAUCAGACAGACCAAUUUAUGGGAUUCCAUGUCUGGCAAAUGCAAAUGCAAUGUAUCCUAUGACUUGUUUCGAUGUCAGAUUCUUUGUAUUAUUGGAUAAUAUUAUAUAGUUCCAGGCUCAUGUGAAUAAUAACCCCAAUUAAUAUGAUCUUUGCCAAAACAUAUAAAUAAGUCCAUUUUAGACAGCUCAAGUAUUUCCUUGUCAAGUUAUUUUAUUUUUAAGUCCCCCUUUUUACUUUACGAGUUACUUUUCUCUGCAUUAAUCCAUGAGCAGCACACUGCAUCACAGUCUCUCCUUUUAUUUUACUCUAAAUGGCAAAUGGGGAAUAGCACUUCCAUGCCCAAAAAUCCUUGCUGACGCUUGUGCUGGAGGACUUGGAUCAGACUUCGCACAGUUGUACAGUGCUGUGAGAGAGAUCUUCAAAUCUUUUUCCCUUUUGCUGGGAUAAACUUUACCAUACCUGAUAUGUGCAGUCUGCACAAAGUGUUGUGGUGCAGGUUUCCCCAGGCAAGACCUACACAGCCAACAGAGGGUCAACUGCAGCAGAGAUGGACAAUGUCUUGUUGCUCCAUUCUUCCUGGGCUCAGUGCUGCAUUAACAGGGCCAUUGUGCUUUGGGUACCCAAGUGACAGGCUAUGGGCAGUGGGACGUGUUUUACAGUUGUCUAUAUUUUGCUUGGAGCAAACUCACAGGUCUCAAAGUCCCUCAUUUUUCAGUGGAGACAUGUUAAGAUACUUAAAAUGCUGUUUGCAGUCAUUCGGCUCUAUUCACAAGCACUGUAGAUCUUUGGGGCUUUGUUUGGCAGGGGAUUGUGCUAAGUAUAAGGAUUUAUUACCUGUGUUGCACAUGCAUGCUAUUCCUUAUUCUACCAGUAAAUAAUGAGGAUGGAAGAACUGCAAUUUAAAUGCUCACUGAAAUUUGGUUCACGGUUUCUCAUUGGAUGGCUGAUCUUGGAAGAACCACUCAUUCCUAUGCUUAGGCAGCUGAACAGGGGGCAAGAGAUGGGCAUUACCAGGCGUCUGUGUUUGAAGAGGAAGAGUGCACAAACAUUUCCAUGAACUUUACUCUCACCUGGAGAAAAACACAGCUAGAAGGCAAAAAUGAAAGAGGAAAAUGGAGUCAAAAAUACUGCAAGUGUAACCCAGAGUAGUGCUGUAACAUCAAGGUGACUCAGAGCAGCUCUGGUUCAACAUGGGAGAAGCUGAGUGUGCUGAAAUGUGUUGGGUGCCUGUAGGGUUGUGCACGGGGGAGAGGGCCCCGGUCUUACAGCUCAUGGAGAGGGCAGAGGUGAGGAGACUGAUGGAACUGUGGCUCUACAAGAAAAAGUCCCCACUGUGGGAAGGGAUUGCUUUCCUCAAUAUCAAAACCAGCCCAGUCCUCCAGGGCUUGGCUGUGACUUUUUCUUGCUGUGGACUCAAGUAAUGCUUAGCUCCAUUGCUGGCGGGGGAGGGUAUAUUUUCAAACAGCAUUAGUGGAAAUUGUGAAUCAGGGCUUUCUGAAAACCCUGGAUCUGACAGCAUGAAGGUCAGGCCGCUGCAUGAUUUCCGUGGAAGCGUUCUCUUUUUCUGCCUGGAAAUUUCAGAUCGCUGGAAUUAGGGAAUGUGACAUAUUUAUCCAGGACUUCCAGCAUCUGGUGCCUGGUGGGAACAGCAGCUCUGCCUGGCUGCUGCUGAUGCAGACUCCUUCCGUCCGCAAAGCACCGGGUUCACCUUUGCAGCCCCAGGAUUGCCCAAUGCCACAGAGCAACCGACUCCGUGGGAAUGGCCAAUGCUUUUAGUCCUGUAGCUCACCAUUCGCUGCCACUGCCCACAGUGGGCUUCAUUCCCAGGUAAAUUCUCAAAGAGAAAGGGUUUCCACUUUUGCCUGCAGGCAGUAGCUCAGUCUGGGGGAGCUAAGCUGAAUCAAGCAAUCAAGGAUGAGAAGAAUACCGGUUUUGGGAGUACCGGUGAUAAAUUUAUGCUGCACUUGGCAGAAGGCUGUGAUGCUGCAUCCAACCACAAAUUGGCUCGGUGGGUGCUGAGCCAUGGAGCUUCCUCAGCCCUUUGGCUAUGUCCUCAUGAGCCUAUUUCAGCUCUGUUCUGA
rnacentral:lncRNA from 1 species